UACAGAGGGUGCAAGCGUUGUUCGGAAUUAUUGGGCGUAAAGCGCGUGUAGGCGGCUUUGCAAGUCGGGUGUGAAAGCCCUCAGCUCAACUGAGGAAGUGCGCCCGAAACUGCAGAGCUUGAGUGCCGGAGAGGGUGGCGGAAUUCCCCAAGUAGAGGUGAAAUUCGUAGAUAUGGGGAGGAACACCGGUGGCGAAGGCGACUUCCUGGCCUGUUCUUGACGCUGAGGCGCGAAAGCUAGGGGAGCAAACGGG
rnacentral:rRNA from 1 species